UGGGGAAUAUUGGACAAUGGGCGCAAGCCUGAUCCAGCCAUGCCGCGUGGGUGAUGAAGGCCCUAGGGUUGUAAAGCCCUUUCGGCGGGGAAGAUAAUGACGGUACCCGCAGAAGAAGCCCCGGCUAACUUCGUGCCAGCAGCCGCGGUAAUACGAAGGGGGCUAGCGUUGCUCGGAAUCACUGGGCGUAAAGCGCACGUAGGCGGAUCCUUAAGUCGGGGGUGAAAUCCUGGAGCUCAACUCCAGAACUGCCUUCGAUACUGAGGAUCUCGAGUCCGGGGGAGGUGCGGGGAACUGCGAGUGGAGAGGUGAAAUUCGUAGAUAUUCGCAAGAACACCCGUGGCGAAGGCGGCUCACUGGCCCGGUACUGACGCUGAGGUGCGAAAGCGUGGGGAGCAAACGGG
rnacentral:rRNA from 1 species